rnacentral:rRNA from 1 species
GGACCAAGGAGUCUAGCAUGUGCGCAAGUCAUUGGGACUUUAAUGAAACCUAAAGGCGUAAUGAAAGUGAAUUAUUUGUAAAUAUUUAUUUAUUUACUAAAUUUAAGGGAAGAUGGAUAACAAACGUUGUCUCGCAUUCCCGGGGCGUCGCGUACUCAUUGCGAGUUGCGGCGCACCAAGAGCGUACACGCUGGGACCC